UCCAGACUCCUACGGGAGGCAGCAGUGGGGAAUAUUGCGCAAUGGGGGAAACCCUGACGCAGCAACGCCGCGUGAGUGAAGAAGUAUCUCGGUAUGUAAAGCUCUAUCAGCGGGGAAGAAGGAAGACGGUACCCGACUAAGAAGCCCCGGCUAACUACGUGCCAGCAGCCGCGGUAAUACGUAGGGGGCGAGCGUUAUCCGGAUUUACUGGGUGUAAAGGGAGCGUAGACGGCGGCGCAAGUCUGAAGUGAAAGCCCGUGGCUCAACCGCGGGACUGCUUUGGAAACUGUGUUGCUGGAGUGCUGGAGAGGCAAGCGGAAUUCCUAGUGUAGCGGUGAAAUGCGUAGAUAUUAGGAAGAACACCAGUGGCGAAGGCGGCUUGCUGGACAGUAACUGACGUUGAGGCUCGAAAGCGUGGGGAGCAAACAGGAUUAGAUACCCUGGUAU
rnacentral:rRNA from 1 species